AGGGGCAGCGGGGGUGCAGGCUUGCCUGCGCCUGCCGGCGACCGGCGCACGGGUGAGUAACACGUAUGGAACCUGCCCGCCACAGGGGGAUAACCCGGGGAAACCCGGCCUAAUACCCCAUGCCGUCCGGACCGGGCAUCCGGUCCGGGCGAAAGGAGGAAUCCGGUGGCGGCUGGGCAUGCGGCGCAUUAGCUUGACGGCGGGGUAACGGCCCACCGUGGCGACGAUGCGUAGGGGUUCUGAGAGGAAGGCCCCCCACACUGGAACUGAGACACGGUCCAGACUCCUACGGGAGGCAGCAGUGAGGAAUAUUGGUCAAUGGGCGGAAGCCUGAACCAGCCAAGUCGCGUGAGGGAAUAAGGCCCUACGGGUCGUAAACCUCUUUUGCCGGGGAGCAAGGGCCGGGACGCGUCCCGGCCCGGAGAGUACCCGGAGAAAAAGCAUCGGCUAACUCCGUGCCAGCAGCUGCGGUAAUACGGAGGAUGCGAGCGUUAUCCGGAUUUAUUGGGUUUAAAGGGUGCGUAGGCGGGCUUUUAAGUCAGCGGUAAAAAUUCGGGGCUCAACCCCGUCCGGCCGUUGAAACUGGGGGCCUUGAGUGGCGAGAAGAAGGCGGAAUGCGUGGUGUAGCGGUGAGAUGCAUAGAUAUCACGCAGAACCCCGAUUGCGAAGGCAGCCUUCCGGCGCCCUACUGACGCUGAGGCACGAAAGUGCGGGGAUCGAACAGGAUUAGAUACCCUGGUAGUCCGCACAGUAAACGAUGGAUGCCAGCUGU
rnacentral:rRNA from 1 species